GCCUGGCAGUUCCACGAGAGAGUGGAAAACAUACCUUUAUCUUCUUGCGUAGAUAAGAUGAAAUUAUAAUACCGACCAUUACAAAAUAAAAUCUCACAUCACAAAGCAAAUGCUCAGAGGGGCGAGAAGUGGUGGGUAAAACCCAGAUAAAACUACAACAAAGUUGGAUAAAGCAAACUUUCCUAACCAGUCUGCUAUUGAAUUUGCAUCUUUUGAACAUAAAUGCUCAAAUCAGAUGCAUUUCAAACUACCACAGGAAACUUCAAACCAAAAGAUGUGACCCUAACUACAUCAAAUGUACAAAGAGAACAACCUACUUAAAAAAUUUAUAGGUGACGUCUGAUGCAAAACUGGCCAUUCUUAUAUAUGGUAAUAUAAAUCCAUUAAUAUAUAGCAAUCAUGGCAGAGUACCAGAAUUCCCAUUCACACUUGCAGGUUGAGUGUUACUCUGGGUCUGAGGAACAUAAAAAUUCCUGCUGUUAGCAAGAAACGCCUGUAUAGGGGGUGGAAAACUAGGUAGCGAUGAGGUCACUGAAGGUGGUGGAGCUGGACCUGAAGCUGGUUGAGUAGGCUGAAUUAUCAAGUCACCAUAAGCGGCAGCUGCCUGACCAGAUAAGCUUCCACGCAUUCGUCCUGUUGGCCGCCAAUUCUGCUCUGAUGAUAAAUUCACAACACCAUCAGUUCCAGUAUUCACUUGUGCUGCUGCUCCUACAUUUCCUCUCUGCACCAUUGUUGGUGCCCUAGUCCCAUCAGUAUUCGAGUAUGAGAUCCCUCUGGAGGUUGGAAUUUGAACUGGCACUGAUGGUGGCUGUCUAGCCAUCUGGACUGCUAGUUGGGCAGCAGUUGUAAACCUAGUAUGUUGGCUAUUUGGAAAACCUGCAGUAUUGCCAGCCCCAACUUGUGCAACCCCUUGCUGGGUCUGACUCAGUGGAAGAGCUGGAGAUGAUCGACCUACACUUGGAGACGGACUCCUGGAUUGGGGCAUCCUAAGAGCUUGCUGCUGAUGUAAAUUCUGAGAUUCAUUCCGAAACCCAGAAGAUGCUCCAAUAGCACCUGGGCGUUGACUAGAAGUUGAAACACCAGCAGCCUGUUGGACUGAUUGUCCCAUAUUAAAUGAUAGAUCUGGAUGAUUCGGGUUCUGCAAGAAAUAUAGAACACAUGAAGAUGCAAGAGAGGAAAACUGAAUGGCUCAGGAAGCAGACAUGAAGAAAGCAUAUUGCCAAAAAGAUGAAAUCAAGUACACCAAGCUAGAAGGCAAGAUUCCAAUUAUGAACUGAAUUUAGAAGACAGGACAUCUAAUAAAGUUGGCCGAAGUUACAGAAAUCCCUACCGCUACUGACAAUGAUAAUAGCAACAACAUUAACUACAUGAGAACUGCAAGACACAACAAAACAAAGGAUAGCAGACUAACGAAAUAUAACCUGUGCUGUUGACUGAUGCUGCAAUGAGGGUGGAGUCCUAUCCAACACUUGAUGUGGAUUUGUACGGGAUCUCAGAUGUUGCUGCUGCCUGUCCAUCAUAUGAUUGGAACCCAUAUUGAAACCAUUUGAAGUUGGUGUUAUUGGCAGGGCAGCCUGAGAAGCAAUAGAGGACCCAUUAGGAAUUGUACUAUUCAAAUUAGUUCUUGGUCUUUGUUGUCGAAUUGAUGUUUGAGAUUGAACUGGGAGGGCCUGAACUGCUAUAGGAUUUCUGUUCACAUGUCUGGGUAUCUGCGUCAACCUCCCAUACUCAUUGUUUACAGCUGCAUUCACAAGUUGUGACUGUUGCAAAUUCCCAGAAGCAGAAAUUUGAUUUUGCAAUAAAGAAGUGAAGUUAUUAUUCCCUUGCACCAUAGCAUCACGGUUAAGAACAGGAGAAAUGGCAUCAGUUAUCCCAGAGGUGCCAUGAAUCAUUUGCAUCCCAGUAUUGGAAGUCCCAGAUCCAUGAUUUAAGUAAACAUCAGACCAAAAGUCAUCCUCUAGUCGACUAGCAACAUUUUGGUCAACCGCAUUUGGCAUGGUUAAGUUAGUGGCAACAGAUUGACUUAGAAGAGUAGCCUGAGAAGGUUUCUCAUCAUCAACAUCACUUGUGCUUACGACAUCCAUCCUAUUAUCAUCCUCUGUAAGAUCCAUAACAAUGGAAAGGUCAACUAAGGAAGUAGCAGGUCCUUGCUGUCCAGGUGUUUCUUUCUGGCAAUUAACAGUCUCUUCGCAUGUCUUAUCUGCAUUGUCAUCACUUUCCAUGAUAGCCUGCCAUGACCCAUCAGCAGAGAUGAUCACGUCAACAACAUUCUCUGCCACUUCUUUCAGAACCUAGCAACAAACACAAAUAUGUAAAGGAGGGAGGAAGAAAAAACAAGUGUUCAUUCUGGGGCAAAUCCAACUCCACAACUACUUGCCUUAACCAUGUUCUGAUCAACACGAAUAUCUGUGUAGCAGACAUGCUGAUUACAAUGUGGGCAACGCCAAGAUGGCCUUCUUGAAUUUAUAUCAACAAAGUUACUAAAAUCACAACACUGAAGAUGUUUGCAUGUAUGUCCUUUGACAGGAGUUCUGAUUCGCGUAUAGCUGUUUGAGGCGCACAGAAAGUCAAUCAACGGGAAAUGCUUAUUUUGGUUCAAAACACAAAAGGACAAAUGGAAGCAUCACGUCAUAAUAAAAUUACAUUUAAAUUGCCAAUUAUCAGCACUAGGACUGUUCUUUUCUAUUGAAAGGGAAACAAUCAAGCCUAUUUGUCAUAAUUUAACAAACAGAAACAUACAUUGUGCCCUUCCCUUAAAGGUUGAUUAAUUGGAAGAAAGUUCCUGCAACUGGAAGCAUCAGGUUAUCCAGUAACUUGAACAAUAUCAAAACUAAUAAGUUGCAGCAGAUCAAUAGUAAUAAUGUUUUUCUUUUUCUUUCCUUUUUUCACCUCUCCCCCUACAGAGAAUAAGCAAAUUGACUACGCAUCCAUUCAUAAAAGUCAAAAAAGCCUAAAGAGUAAUCAUAAUAAAAGAAUUUUGAAUAACCAGUACCAUGGAAUUACCUUAUGGGGCAAUUAAGUGAUACACGUGAUGGCCCCUCAAUUAUAUCAGA
rnacentral:misc_RNA from 1 species